GAUCAUGGCUCAGGACGAACGCUGGCGGCGUGCCUAACACAUGCAAGUCGAACGGAGAAUUUUAUUUCGGUAGAAUUCUUAGUGGCGAACGGGUGAGUAACGCGUAGGCAACCUGCCCUUUAGACGGGGGCGAACAUUCCGAAGGAGUGCUAAUACCGGAUGUGAUCAUCGUGCCGCAUGGCAGGAUGAAGAAAGAUGGCCUCUACAAGUAAGCUAUCGCUAAAGGAUGGGCCU
rnacentral:rRNA from 1 species